UACGAAGGGGGCUAGCGUUGUUCGGAAUCACUGGGCGUAAAGGGCGCGUAGGCGGCUUUAUAAGUCGGGGGUGAAAGCCUGUGGCUCAACCACAGAAUUGCCUUCGGUACUGUAGAGCUUGAGACCGGAAGAGGUAAGUGGAACUGCGAGUGUAGAGGUGAAAUUCGUAGAUAUUCGCAAGAACACCAGUGGCGAAGGCGGCUUACUGGUCCGGUUCUGACGCUGAGGAACGAAAGCUAGGGGAGCGAACGGG
rnacentral:rRNA from 1 species